AACGAACGCUGGCGGCAGGCUUAACACAUGCAAGUCGAGCGCCCCGCAAGGGGAGCGGCAGACGGGUGAGUAACACGUGGGAAUCUACCCAUCCCUGCGGAACAACUCCGGGAAACUGGAGCUAAUACCGCAUACGCCCUACGGGGGAAAGAUUUAUCGGGGAUGGAUGAGCCCGCGUUGGAUUAGCUAGUUGGUGGGGUAAAGGCCUACCAAGGCGACGAUCCAUAGCUGGUCUGAGAGGAUGAUCAGCCACAUUGGGACUGAGACACGGCCCAAACCCCUACGGGAGGCAGCAGUGGGGAAUAUUGGACAGUGGGCGCAAGCCUGAUCCAGCCAUGCCGCGUGAGUGAUGAAGGCCUUAGGGUUGUAAAGCUCUUUCACCGAUGAAGAUAAUGACGGUAGUCGGAGAAGAAGCCCCGGCUAACUUCGUGCCAGCCGCCGCCGUAACAC
rnacentral:rRNA from 1 species